GGUGUUAAGGGGCAUACUGACAUUGAGACGCUAAAGCUUAGUAGCAAAUAGGAUUAGAGACCCUAGUAGUCUGGGCUUCACCGAUGAAUGUUAACUUUUUUGUUCAAAGGAGUUAGUUAACGCGUAAACAUUCUACCUGAGUAUUACGGCCGCAAGGUGAAACUCAAAGAAAUUGGCGGAAAACUGUACCAGCGGUGGAUAUGUGGUUUAAUUUGAGAAUACGCAAAAAACCUACCAACUAAUGUAUGUUUACUAUUAAUAAAGUACCAGUGAUAUAGUUAGGCCCUUAUUUUAUUUUAAUUAGUAUGCUUAUACAGGUGCUGCAUGGCUGUCUUAAGUCGUGUUGUGAGAUGUCAG
rnacentral:rRNA from 1 species